AACGAACGCUGGCGGCAUGCCUAACACAUGCAAGUCGAACGAGGCCUUCGGGUCUAGUGGCGCACGGGUGCGUAACGCGUGGGAACCUGCCCUUAGGUUCGGAAUAACUCCCCGAAAGGGGUGCUAAUACCGGAUAAUGUCUUCGGACCAAAGAUUUAUCGCCUUUGGAUGGGCCCGCGUUGGAUUAGCUAGUUGGUAGGGUAAAAGCCUACCAAGGCGACGAUCCAUAGCUGGUCUGAGAGGAUGAUCAGCCACACUGGGACUGAGACACGGCCCAGACUCCUACGGGAGGCAGCAGUGGGGAUUAUUGGACAAUGGGCGAAAGCCUGAUCCAGCAAUGCCGCGUGAGUGAUGAAGGCCUUAGGGUUGUAAAGCUCUUUUACCCGGGAUGAUAAUGACAGUACCGGGAGAAUAAGCUCCGGCUAACUCCGUG
rnacentral:rRNA from 1 species